rnacentral:lncRNA from 1 species
AGGGGCACUUGUUCUGAUGGGCAGUUUGAGCAAAGGACCUUCAUCUCACCACCUCAGAUGAUGUUUUGCUGUUAAUACGUUACAUUCAUCCCAGCGGUAGCUAAGAGAUUUAUUAAGUGAAUAAAGAAAUUGGCAAUCAAGAGAGUGACCUUCUUGGAAAGUACUCAUAGCCCAGAACUGAGUACACUGAAACAACUUUAUGGUAAAGGCAAGUAUAAAGAGAAAAUUAGCCCUGAGCUAACAUCUGCCGACAAUCCUCCUCUUUUUGCUGAGGAAGACUGGCCCUGAGCUAACAUCUGUGCCCACCUUGCUCUACUUUAUAUGUGGGAUGCCUGCCACAGUGUGGCUUGACAAGCGGUGCAUAGGUCCGCACCGGGGAUCCCAACCAGCGAAGGCGAACCCCAGGCCACCGAAGUGGAAUGUGCAAACCCAACCACUGUGCCACUGGGCUGGCCCCCUAGCAUUAUUCUUUUAGUAGCAAGAAAGAGAGAGAGAGAGAGAGAGAGAGAGAGAGAGAGAGAGAUUUGUAAGACCUCUUGAGGGCUGGGUUCAAGAUUAGCAUGCUGUCACUUCUGCCACAAUCAUUGGCCAGAUCAAGUCAGUAGGGAAAAUAGAGUCUACCUCUUGAUGGGAGGAGCUGCAAAGUUACAUUGCAAAGGGUGUGGAUGAAAGAGGGUGGGGAGAGAAUUGCAGCCUUUCUCUUAAAGGCCCCUGCUUCCCUCUCAUUCCCUGGUCCCCAAAACAUUAAA